GGAGGCGGGCCGCAGCGGGAGAGACUCUUUCCGUCCGCCUCUGGAGCAGGGGCCCAGGUAGUACGGUAAUGCUCGUCAUCCCGGCGUCAGCACCCGGUUGGCUCUGGAGACGUCAGGGCUUGGAAGCCCUCCGGGAGAGCCCAGACGCUGGGCUGGGCGACUUGGACCCGCCGUGAGUCAGUUGGGCGCGAUGAAGGCACCGUGUUUGCCCAGAUCUGGGAAGAAAUUUUUAAAUUCACUAAGGAAAUCCGAAAGAAAAGUAGGUGGAAGAGUUCAUAGAUCCACCUCUCAUCUGUCUACCACUCAUCAGGAGCAGCUACUUCCCAUUGAGUCUGUGUACUGAUACAUAGGAUGCUGGUGAAUCAUUUUAGUUUCUGGGCUAGGGAGCAGACAAGGAAGCAAGAGGCAUCUUUGCUCUUGUCAUGCCACCCCAGGCAUCAAAUGUGCUCCACUUUAGCCUCCAGCUGCACUGAUGUAGCGCUUGAACAACUUGCAAAUUUUCAUCUGAGGCUGAUCUUCUUUUGUCCUGACAGGUUCACUGCUUUCUGGAAGAAGCAGAGUCAACAUAACUACACCUUUUCAUUGAGUCAUGACAGCUUUUGCAAGUGAUGCUGAACAAAAGUAAUUCCCUGGUUACUCUGCCUGCACUUUUAUCAGUGGUUAAUAUCACAGUUUUUGUUGAAGUCUAUCUCUUCUUUUGUGUGCAUGUCACUUAGCAGAACAGACAUGUUUAUGUAAGUUCCAC
rnacentral:lncRNA from 1 species